rnacentral:rRNA from 1 species
GCUUGCUCUUUCCGGAAUUGAGUGGCAAACGGGUGAGUAACACGUAAACAACCUGCCUUCAGGAUGGGGACAACAGACGGAAACGACUGCUAAUACCGAAUAAGUUCCAAGAGCCGCAUGGCCCAUGGAAGAAAAGGUGGCCUCUACCUGUAAGCUAUCGCCUGAAGAGGGGUUUGCGUCUGAUUAGCUGGUUGGAGGGGUAACGGCCCACCAAGGCGACGAUCAGUAGCCGGUCUGAGAGGAUGAACGGCCACACUGGAACUGAGACACGGUCCAGACUCCUACGGGAGGCAGCAGUGGGGAAUCUUCCGCAAUGGGCGAAAGCCUGACGGAGCAACGCCGCGUGAGUGAUGACGGCCUUCGGGUUGUAAAACUCUGUGAUCCGGGACGAAAAGGCAGAGUGCGAAGAACAAACUGCAUUGACGGUACCGGAAAAGCAAGCCACGGCUAACUACGUGCCAGCAGCCGCGGUAAUACGUAGGUGGCAAGCGUUGUCCGGAAUUAUUGGGCGUAAAGCGCGCGCAGGCGGCUUCCCAAGUCCCUCUUAAAAGUGCGGGGCUUAACCCCGUGAUGGGAAGGAAACUGGGAAGCUGGAGUAUCGGAGAGGAAAGUGGAAUUCCUAGUGUAGCGGUGAAAUGCGUAGAGAUUAGGAAGAACACCGGUGGCGAAGGC